GUCCAGCAGCCGCGGUAAUACCGGCAGCACAAGUGAUGGCCAAUCUUAUUGGGCCUAAAGCGUCCGUAGCUGGCUGCGCAAGUCCGUCGGGAAAUCCACUCGCCCAACGAGUGGGCGUCCGACGGAAACUGCAUAGCUUGGGACCGGAAGGCUCGAAGGGUACGUGCGGGGUAGGAGUGAAAUCCCAUAAUCCCGCACGGACCACCGAUGGCGAAAGCACUUCGAGAAAACGGAUCCGACAGUGAGGGACGAAAGCUGGGAUCUCGAACCGGAUUAGAUACCCGGGUAGUCC
rnacentral:rRNA from 1 species